UGUGGCUUAUUGGUUAAAGUGUUCAGCUGCUAACUGAAAAGUCUGUGGUUAGAACCCACCA
rnacentral:tRNA from 1 species